UUGUGGUUAAAAAGCUCGUAGUUGGAUCUCAACAGCCUUGAAGCGGUUAACUUUGUAGUUUUACUGCUUUAUAGGCUGUGCUUUUGCUGGAGGUUUAGGGGUGCUCUUGAUCGAGUGUCUCUGGAUGCCAGCAGGUUUACUUUGAAAAAAUUAGAGUGCUCAAAGCAGGCUAAAAUGCCUGAAUAUUCGUGCAUGGAAUAAUAGAAUAGGAUGUCGAUCCUAUUUUGUUGGUUUUCGGGACUCGACAUAAUGAUAAAUAGGGACAGUCGGGGGCAUUUGUAUUCAAACGACAGAGGUGAAAUUCUUGGACCGUUUGAAGACAAACUACUGCGAAAGCAUUUGCCAAGAAUGUUUUCAUUAAUCAAGAACGAAAGUUAGAGGUUCGAAGGCGAUCAGAUACCGCCCUAGUUCUAACCAUAAACGAUGCCAGCUAGCGAUCUGCCUGCGUUUUUACUGUAGACUGGGCAGGAAGCUUCCGGGAAACCAAAGCAUUUGGGUUCCAGGGGAAGUAUGGUUGCAAAGCUGAAACUUAAAGGAAUUGACGGAAGGGCACCACCAGGAGUGGAGCCUGUGGCUUAAUU
rnacentral:rRNA from 1 species